ensembl:lincRNA Gm14009 predicted gene 14009
AGUGAAGCUCUGGCUGCCCUCGGAGCCAGCAGAGCCACAGCUUAAGUGGUCUGGACUGCUUUCUGCUCUGGACCCCUGGUUCCCUCCUUGUCAUGGAGGAGGGGUGGUAUUCUUCAUUUUUCUCAGUCCUGAGAAGAACAGAGAAGAACAAUCUUUGCAUCGUCCAUCUGCAGCUGUUUACAGCUAAGGGGGAUGCUGUACCAUCUACUGUGUUCCUGUGAGCAGUAAGAGACCUACUGGCUUUCAUGUCGUUUCCAACACUUGGUGGACCUCCUUGCCCAUCUGGCAGAUGAGCUGAGUUCUUGACACACGUCAGGUACCCGACAAUACCUGUAACUCCAGCUCCCGGAGUCUGACCCUUCUCCUGGCCUCCCAGGCACCUGUACUAACAUGCCCAUACCCACAUGCAGACACGACUAAGCAAUUCUGUUUGGAGCUAACUUUUGGGGGCAUCAACGGUGUUUGACUCAAGUUUGAACCCAAGAUCUCCUCAGACAUCCUUCAAACAAGUAUCCUCCGAUGAUUCAGAAACCCCACAAACAGAAAUGUUAGCAAAAGACCUAGGAAAGCUGACCUUCAACCAUAGUGCUAUGAAGCUUUCUUCUCCUUGACCAGAAAAGGACAUCAUCAUCACCACCACCACCAUCAUCAUCAUC